UACAGAGGUGGCAAGCGUUGUUCGGAAUUACUGGGCGUAAAGGGCGCGUAGGCGGUCCCGUCAGUCCCUUGUGAAAUCCCCCCGGCUUAACUGGGGAACUGCGUCUGAUACUGGAUGGCUUGGAUUCGGGAGAGGAAUGCGGAAUUCCAGGUGUAGCAGUGAAAUGCGUAGAGAUCAUGAGGAAGACCAGUGGCGAAGGCGGGUCUCUGGACAGUUCCUGACACUGAGGCACGAAGGCCAGGGGAGCAAACGGG
rnacentral:rRNA from 1 species